AUUCUUCUAAUUCCUGCAGAGCGGUAUAUUUUUAAAAACAGCAGCAAUGUCCCUGCAAUAGACAAUUAAAGGAAUAUAAACUCCAGUGGGCUGAAACUAGUAGCUCUUUGGGGAAUGCAGUGGCAGGCAGAGGUUUCUACAAAUACCAACACUUAAAAAAAAAUAAUAGAGAGCAUCAUACCAAAAACAAAGAAAGAAGACGAGGAAUGUUAACAUGUGGAUUAUAUUUGUUUCGUUUGGGGGGUAAUGAACUAAAGAGAAUGAAGAAGCCAUCGGUAAUUUCUCCCCUCAUUAAUGAAGUCACCUUUAUAUGUGUUUGUUUCUCUCCUCUAAUUGUGAAGAUGGGUGUUGUCACUUUUGAAGGGGUUAAUCAAUUAUUUUGUAGCUCUGAUCUUUCCCUUGCACCUGACAGAAAGGAAAGGUGGUUGUUAGGGAAGAUGUGAGGAUUGAGGCUAUCUGGGGGAAGACAGUGGGUUCUUUGUAGACCUUCUACAUGCACAACAUAUUAAUUGCGGGCUUUUGAAAGUUCCCUCAAUAGGCUAUUUCAUUCUUGGUAAAACAGCAGCUGGUUAGUCGCUGUUGGAGACUCUUCAAAUAUCACUUUAACGAUUUUCGUUCUGCUGCUGUCCAUUUGUUUUUCCUCAGUCAAGAACGAGAAUGCAAUGCCACCCUUCCUUUCCUGAGGUCCUUUCUCUUCUGUCUUCUUCUCGUCCAGUUUUCAAGCUGUGAAACAAUGUUGGUUUAAUAUUGAACCCUGGUGCACAGCGUAACCACACAACUUGAUUCGGAAGUGAGAUGCUGGUUUAUAUUUAAAUUAUCUCCACUCCUCCCUUACCCUCCAAAGCUUUGUCUCUGCUAUGAAUAUUCAGAUGAGGCUGUGAUGUGAUUACACUGCACAAUUACUCCUAUCCGUGGUGGUGGCAGGGGCUUGUGGGGAGAAAGAGCCAGGCAGCCCCCAAGCCAGUGCGGAGUUUUGUUUUCAGGAUUUUUUUCCCUAUCUCCUGGCGCUGCGGCUCAUGCAGAUGUCGCUGUUGUUCUUUAUAAAGCUCUAAUGACAUGCAAGGGCAUAACGACUUGGUUUGGACGCAAAGCAUCAACUGGAUGUUAUGGGUGUCUUUAAGAAAGAGAAAGAGAAAAUCCUGACUGAAGGAAUGUCCACAUAAAUUAUUUUUAUUUAAAUGAAUUCAAAGGAUGGGGUGAGGGCGAGUGAGAAGGAGUCACAUGGAAAACAUGCAUAAUAUUAAUAUGCACAAAGAAUUCUUACGGAGGAGAAGCCCCUCACUACAGCUCAUGGGACAAACAGGUCCAUUAGGAGACAGCUCUGAGUGACUACAGCAUUUUGCUAUUUCAACUUUUCCCUUAUUUUAAAUGGAGAGUUAGACAGAUGUGUUUUCUUUGCAUGACAGCAUUGAGAUGGAUCCAAUCUGUGAAAUUUGCUGCCCAAAUAGCAUUUCUAAUGGAGUCUGGGACUAAACAAGGGCUUGGAUGUGGAAGGGAGGGGAGAAGAGAGAACACACGAAGAGGAGGCUACUCAGCCACUGCAAAGCAUUUUGUAGCACAGGAAGCUGUCAGAAGCCAUCUUUGCUCCACUGGUCCCAGGUGUGGGCUCCCGAUCCAGAGGGCCAUCAGGGUUCACCAAGAUGAGCGCUGAGACAGGCCCUUGUAGGUCUGAGGCAGAGGAAAACCGCAGCAACUUGGUGCCUGGCCCCUACCUCCUCAGCUGUCUUCAGCUCGGAAGCCAAAAGCACAGCUACUAUUUUGGGAUGCAGUAGAAUGCCUCUUGGUCCAGGCAUUUGUGGAAGAAGGAAUUCUUGGUGCUAUCGCAGAAUAUGUUGCUAAAGAGCAGAUGGGAUCAUUCGCUGCUUAAGGAGGCCCGAUAAUUGCUGUGCCGGUUAAUUCUCAGGUGAUCUGGAAAGUCUUUGGAAAAGAAAACCGAGGUUUUUCUAGGAAAAAAAAAUCGACAAAAUAUGUUUUUAAAAAAUCUGGAUUUACACAAGGGCAUGGGAUUAUGAUCUCUUGUGGAAGAAAAUAAACAAGGCCACCCCCCUACCACCUGUUUCUACGAAGAGGCACUGUGCAGACCACCCCAGGACAGAGAGGACCAACAGAGCACGGCAGCCUGACAUAGCUGAGGAGGCAGAGACAAACGCGGAUGCAUGACAGCGAGUGUUGCCCCAAGAGGAGGGAGAAGCAAUGAGGAGGAAAUCACAAUGCUGCCUUGGGGUUUCCAAGUGGCAAUCCUCUAGCUUCCUAGCCUUAUUUAUUCACAUUCUUACAAACUGAGGACUCUAAAGAAAUGUUAUUAAGACAACUUAAGACAAUAUUUGUGUGCUAUAACUUAAAGCUAGUAAUUGUCUAAAAUAAGUAUCAAUCCAUUUUAACAUAAAAGACAUCCAGAUGUUGUGUUUUAAUAAAAAAAUAAGUAAUUUUGUAAAAUAAUAUCAAUGACAAUGGUAGUUUUACUUUACUUUUUUUGGCAAUUCUUGUAUUUUUCUAACUUGAUAGAAAACAUCUGUGUUUUUUAUUUGCUUUGGGACUCAAUUUGUUCUGUUAUCAUAUGCCACAGAGCUUCUAGAAACCUCCAUUGUACAUACCUCUGAGAAAAUGAAGGUAGAAAAGCAAACAACAUCUUCCUAUAGUAUUGAAAACAGUCUUUAAAACAUAGUCUUGGUGUUAUUACAAAGUUGUAUCAUUAGUGUAAGCUUGUAUCAGCCCUGAGUCUUUGGAUAAACACUAACCUACGUGUAUAGAAGGUGGAACUACACAGAGAAGGCAUGAGCCCCCAGGGAAUGAAAACUGAGCAACACACAGAGCAUACAGGCCAGAAGACAGUCCACUUCUAACCAGCCCAGCCCAGAAAGGCUUGGGGGUCAUGUUCAGAACAUUCACAGACCCUCCAAAAGUGCCACGCUUAGCUAGCAGUAACUGUAAACAAAUUCUUAGAUUGACAAAACAGGUUCUCAUACCUCGAAAACAAACAGAUCCAGAAGCAAGUUUACCUACUUUGUACACACUGCCAAGAAGGGAGACGGCAGCACCUAGAGUCAAACCCUUAAUACUCAUAAUGUCCAGCAUCCAAGGGGAAAAGAAAAAAAAAAAAACAAAAAAACAA